rnacentral:sRNA from 1 species
CUAAAUCCCAUUUUACUCUGCCUCUUGAAUGAAGGAUCUAUGCCACAGAAUCUUUUUUCUUGUCCCUGAAUUUUUCAACAAGUAUUUUUAUAAGUAUUGAACUAGCACAUGAAGUUCUAUUAUGCCUUCUUAUCAAGCAUUUAUAUGUGUAUUACUACUUUAAAUCUCAGUUUUGUGUCAUUUUUUUGUGAUUUUUCGUAAAUGACUUUUAUUCACUGAUAAUGAAAUUUGAGUCAUUUGUUUGUCCUUCAUAUUACAUGUAACGACAGAGCUAUUUUUGGGUUAUAUGCUCAGUUACCGAUGAUUACAUGUACAUGUACAGGUAUUUUAUUAUUACUGUGUAAACAUGUAUAGGAAAUAUUUUUUAUCUUGUUUAGAUAAUAAAAAAUGUUUCUUAGUGUUUGGAUUUUUUUUUUAAAAUUAGUAUUAAUUAAAAAGAUGAACUAAAAAGAAAUAUGAUACU